rnacentral:rRNA from 1 species
UACGGAAGGGGCUAGCGUUGUUCGGAAUUACUGGGCGUAAAGCGCACGUAGGCGGAUUAGUAAGUCAGGGGUGAAAUCCCGGGGCUCAACCUCGGAACUGCCUUUGAUACUGCUGAUCUCGAGUCCGGAAGAGGUGAGUGGAAUUCCUAGUGUAGAGGUGAAAUUCGUAGAUAUUAGGAAGAACACCGGUGGCGAAGGCGGCGCACUGGUCCGGUACUGACGCUGAGGCGCGAAAGCGUGGGGAGCAAACAGG